CGGGUGGUAAUGCCGGAUGUUCCAGUUGAUCGCAUGGUCUUCUGGGAAAGCUUUCGCGGUAUGGGAUGGGGUCGCGUCCUAUCAGCUUGACGGCGGGGUAACGGCCCACCGUGGCUUCGACGGGUAGCCGGCCUGAGAGGGCGACCGGCCACAUUGGGACUGAGAUACGGCCCAGACUCCUACGGGAGGCAGCAGUGGGGAAUAUUGCACAAUGGGCGCAAGCCUGAUGCAGCGACGCCGCGUGAGGGAUGGAGGCCUUCGGGUUGUAAACCUCUUUUAUCGGGGAGCAAGCGUGAGUGAGUUUACCCGUUGAAUAAGCACCGGCUAACUACGUGCCAGCAGCCGCGGUAAUACGUAGGGUGCAAGCGUUAUCCGGAAUUAUUGGGCGUAAAGGGCUCGUAGGCGGUUCGUCGCGUCCGGUGUGAAAGUCCAUCGCUUAACGGUGGAUCCGCGCCGGGUACGGGCGGGCUUGAGUGCGGUAGGGGAGACUGGAAUUCCCGGUGUAACGGUGGAAUGUGUAGAUAUCGGAAAAAAACACCA
rnacentral:rRNA from 2 species